rnacentral:rRNA from 1 species
AACGAACGCUGGCGGCAUGCCUAACACAUGCAAGUCGAACGAGACCUUCGGGUCUAGUGGCGCACGGGUGCGUAACGCGUGGGAACCUGCCCUUAGGUUCGGAAUAACUCCCCGAAAGGGGUGCUAAUACCGGAUAAUGUCUUCGGACCAAAGAUUUAUCGCCUUUGGAUGGGCCCGCGUUGGAUUAGCUAGUUGGUAGGGUAAAAGCCUACCAAGGCGACGAUCCAUAGCUGGUCUGAGAGGAUGAUCAGCCACACUGGGACUGAGACACGGCCCAGACUCCUACGGGAGGCAGCAGUGGGGAAUAUUGGAAAAUGGGCGAAAGCCUGAUCCAGCAAUGACGCGUGAGUGAUGAAGGCAUUAGGGUUGUAAAGCUCUUUUACCCGGGAUGAUAAUGACAGUACCGGGAGAAUAAGCUCCGGCUAACUCCGUG